rnacentral:rRNA from 1 species
AGAUUGAACGCUGGCGGCAUGCCUAACACAUGCAAGUCGAGCGGCAGCGCGGGGGCAACCCUGGCGGCGAGCGGCGGACGGGUGAGUAAGGCAUCGGAAUCUGCCCUGAUGUGGGGGAUAACGUAGGGAAACUUACGCUAAUACCGCAUACGACCGAGAGGUGAAAGCGGGGGACCGAAAGGCCUCGCGCAGCAGGAUGAGCCGAUGUCCGAUUAGCUGGUUGGUGGGGUAAAGGCCUACCAAGGCGACGAUCGGUAGCUGGUCUGAGAGGAUGAUCAGCCACACUGGGACUGAGACACGGCCCAGACUCCUACGGGCGGCAGC